AUUGAACGCUGGCGGUAUGCUUAACACAUGCAAGUCGAACGGCAGCAGGCCUUCGGGCGCUGACGAGCGGCGGACGGGUGAGCAAUGCAUAGGAAUCUGCCUAUUAGUGGGGGAUAACGUGGGGAAACUCACGCUAAUACCGCAUACGAUCUACGGAUGAAAGCUGGGGACCUUCGGGCCUGGCGCUAAUAGAUGAGCCUAUGUCGGAUUAGCUAGUUGGUGGGGUAAAGGCCUACCAAGGCGACGAUCCGUAACUGGUCUGAGAGGAUGAUCAGUCACACUGGAACUGAGACACGGUCCAGACUCCUACGGGAGGCAGCAGUGGGGAAUAUUGGACAAUGGGCGAAAGCCUGAUCCAGCAAUACCGCGUGUGUGAAGAAGGCCUGAGGGUUGUAAAGCACUUUCAAUAGGAAGGAAUACCUGCUGGUUAAUACCCGGCAGACUGACAUUACCUAUACAAGAAGCACCGGCUAACUCCGUGCCAGCAGCCGCGGUAA
rnacentral:rRNA from 1 species